rnacentral:rRNA from 1 species
CCUGGCGGCACUAGCGCGGUGGUCCCACCUGACCCCAUGCCGAACUCAGAAGUGAAACGCCGUAGCGCCGAUGGUAGUGUGGGGUCUCCCCAUGCGAGAGUAGGGAUUCAUAAACUGCCAGGC